ensembl:snRNA U6 U6 spliceosomal RNA
AUGCUUGUUUCAGCAGUACAUAUACUAAAAUUGUAAUGAUACAGAGACAAUUAGCAUGGCCCCUGUGCAAGGAUGACACAAAAAA